CUCCCUUGGUAAACUCAUCACCUCCUUUGGCCUCCAAUAUCACUUCUAUGCGGAUGACACGCAAAUCUAUCUGUCCUCCCCUAAUUUCUUACCACUCAUCUUGACUCGUGUCUCUUACUGCCUCUCUGUGAUUUCCAGCUGGAUGGCUGCUCACUACUUAACCUGUCCAAAACAGAACUUCUUUUAAUUCCUUCCUCAAUUGUUAAAACAUGCUAAUCCCAUGUCCGUCUCCCUCCAAAUCAAUGGCACUCACAGGCUCGCUGCCUAGCUCGCUGCCUCUUUGACUCCAACCUCUCCUUCACCCUCAUGUCCAGUCACUCACCAAAUCCUACUGUUUGUAUCUCAAAAACAUAGCACACAUCUGCUCCUAUCUAACACCGGUGAUCUUCUUAGCUUGCCCCGUUACAGUCUAUAAUGAAUGCAGCGGUGAGGCUUAUAUUCCUGUCCGCCUUCACCUCCCAUGCCUCCCCCUCUGUUAGCCCUGACACUGGCUUCCGGAAGAUUUAGAGCUCAAUUUAAGCAAUGUUUGCUUACAAACCUCUACAUAACACUGCUCCUACCUACCUAUCCAUACUGAUACACAAAUAUAGGGCCUUAUGCUUUGCUGAAGAUCUGCGUCUAUUCUCUGUUCGUACUCGCACCUCUGAUGCCCACCCUUAAGAUUUCUCUAGGACUGCGCCGUUCCUAAUGAACUCCCUUCCCUGCUCUGUUAGACUCUCAUCGAGUUUUAGUUCCUUCAAAAGAUCAUUAAAAACUCACAUCUUUAGAAAAGCUUGUCAAUUGCUUUACUCUCUCCUCCAACUCUGCUUCACUCCCACCCUAUUUGAUUGAUAUUUCCUGUCCUAACAUACCCCACCUCCUAUAGACUGUAAGCUCGUUUGAGCAGUGUCCUCUUCAACCUAUUGUUCCUGUAAGUUUUCUUGUAAUUGACCUAUUUAUAGUUACAUCCCCCCUCUCAUAAUAUUG